rnacentral:rRNA from 1 species
CCUACGGGCGGCAGCAGUGAGGAAUAUUGGUCAAUGGGCGGGAGCCUGAACCAGCCAAGUCGCGUGAGGGAAGACGGUCCUACGGAUCGUAAACCUCUUUUGCCGGGGAGCAACGGGGUCCUUGCGAGGGCCCAAUGAGAGUACCCGGAGAAAAAGCAUCGGCUAACUCCGUGCCAGCAGCCGCGGUAAUACGGAGGAUGCGAGCGUUAUCCGGAUUUAUUGGGUUUAAAGGGUGUGUAGGCGGGCUGUUAAGUCAGCGGUCAAAUGUCGGGGCUCAACCCCGGCCUGCCGUUGAAACUGGCGGCCUCGAGUGGGCGAGAAGUAUGCGGAAUGCGUGGUGUAGCGGUGAAAUGCAUAGAUAUCACGCAGAACUCCGAUUGCGAAGGCAGCAUACCGGCGCCCUACUGACGCUGGGGCACGAAAGCGUGGGUAUCGAACAGGAUUAGAUACCCCAGUAGUC